CUGUUAUUGAGUUGAUCUUUGAUCCUGUUCUAAUCUAUUCUGUUGACAGGCCAAGAGGGCAGAAACCCCUCCAGUGUGGUGGACUAUGAGAAGAUCGAUGAAGAUGCCAGAGCCCUGUAUGAUGCUGGGGUGAAGAGAAAGGAACAGAUGUGCCACCUGGAUCUCCAUCAUGUCAGAAGGAGUGUUCCUCCACCUGCAGAAAGUGUUUGACAGGUACAAGAGCUACAGUCCCUAUGAUAUGCAGGAGAGCAUCAGGAAGGAGGUGAAGGGAGACCUGGAGAAGUCCUUCCUCACACUCGUUGAGUGUUUUGAGAACAAGCCGCUGUACUCGCCAGCAGACUUGCAGAGGCCAUGAAGGGUAAAAGUGCGAAGGAGAAGGUUGUGACGAGGAUCAUGGUGUCUCGGUGUGAAGUCGACCUCAUGAAGGUCAGAACAGAGUUCAAGAGUCAGACCGGCAAGUCUCUGUCCAGACCAUCUCUGAGCACACUAAGGGGGAUUACCAGAAGGCCAUGCCGUCUCUGUGUGGGGAGACGACUAAACGUCAUCUUGAUUUCAUUACCUACAAGCCUUCGGCGUACUGGUCAUUAUGUCCACUGCUGGGAAGGUUGCUUACUAGACUACAACCCCCACUGGA